GACGAACGCUGGCGGCGUGCUUAACACAUGCAAGUCGAACGGAAAGGCCCUGCUUUUGUGGGGUGCUCGAGUGGCGAACGGGUGAGUAACACGUGAGUAACCUGCCCUUGACUUUGGGAUAACUUCAGGAAACUGGGGCUAAUACCGGAUAGGAGCUCCUGCUGCAUGGUGGGGGUUGGAAAGUUUCGGCGGUUGGGGAUGGACUCGCGGCUUAUCAGCUUGUUGGUGGGGUAGUGGCUUACCAAGGCUUUGACGGGUAGCCGGCCUGAGAGGGUGACCGGCCACAUUGGGACUGAGAUACGGCCCAGACUCCUACGGGAGGCAGCAGUGGGGAAUAUUACACAAUGGGCGGAAGCCUGAUGCAGCAACGCCGCGUGCGGGAUGACGGCCUUCGGGUUGUAAACCGCUUUCGCCUGUGGCGAAGCGUGAGUGACGGUAAUGGGUAAAGAAGCACCGGCUAACUACGUG
rnacentral:rRNA from 1 species